UAAUGCAGAAAUGGUCGAUAAAUUAUACAUCCUCUAGUUAAAUCAUAACGACUUACUUCAAUUUUCACUCUAUCUCCUGGUAGUGUCCAUAUAAAACUACACCGGAACUUUCAUGAAACAUAACCCAAGAUUAGAUCUUCAUUAUCUAACCGAACCCAGAACAUACUAUUGGGAAGCGAUUCAAUAAUUAAACCUUCAUGAAUCCAUUUUUGUUCUUACAUUCCAGGUAAAGUCUCCUUGAAGUGUCAACUAUACAAUUUUUAGAUGGACAAU
rnacentral:lncRNA from 1 species